rnacentral:rRNA from 1 species
GAUGAACGCUGACAGAAUGCUUAACACAUGCAAGUCCACUUGAACUUCGGUUUGGGUGGCGGCCGGGUGAGUAACGCGUACAGAACUUGCCUCACAGCUAGGGACAACAUUUGGAAACGAAUGCUAAUACCUGAUAUUAUGAUUAUAUGGCAUCGUAUAAUUAUGAAAGCUAUAUGCGCUGUGAGAGAGCUUUGCGUCCCAUUAGCUAGUUGGAGAGGUAACAGCUCACCAAGGCGAUGAUGGGUAGCCGGCCUGAGAGGGUGAUCGGCCACAAGGGGACUGAGACACGGCCCUUACGCCUACGGGAGGCAGCAGUGGGGAAUAUUGGACAAUGGACCGAGAGUCUGAUCCAGCAAUUCUGUGUGCACGAUGAAGUUUUUCGGAAUGUAAAGUGCUUUCAGUUGGGAAGAAAAAAAUGACGGUACCAACAGAAGAAGUGACGGCUAAAUACGUG